UACGUAGGUGGCGAGCGUUGUCCGGAUUUACCGGGCGUAAAGAGCGCGCAGGCGGUCGUUCAAGUCGAGUGUGAAAGCCCCCGGCUUAACUGGGGAGGGUCACUCGAUACUGAUCGACUCGAAGGCAGGAGAGGGAAGUGGAAUUCCUGGUGUAGCGGUGAAAUGCGCAGAUAUCAGGAGGAACACCGGUGGCGAAGGCGGCAUCCUGGACCGGUAUUGACGCUGAGGCGCGAAAGCCAGGGGAGCAAACGGG
rnacentral:rRNA from 1 species